UAACACAUGCAAGUCGAACGCAGUAGCAAUACUGAGUGGCAAACGGGUGAGUAUAAUGUGGGAAUCUGCCUUUUGGUUUGGAAUAACACGGGGAAACUUGUGCUAAUACCGGAUAAGCCCUUACGGGGAAAGUUUUAACGCCGAAAGAUGAGCCUGCACUUGAUUAGCUAGUUGGUAAGGUAAAAGCUUACCAAGGCAAUGAUCAAUAGCUGUUCUUAGAGGAAGACCAGCCACAUUGGGACUGAGACACGGCCCAGACUCCUACGGGAGGCAGCAGUGGGGAAUCUUGCACAAUGGGGGAAACCCUGAUGCAGCGAUGCCGCGUGAGUGAAGAAGGCCCUUGGGUUGUAAAACUCUUUCGUCGGGGAAGAAAAUGACUGUACCCGAAUAAGAAGGUCCGGC
rnacentral:rRNA from 1 species